UUUUAACGGCCGCGGUAUCCUAACCGUGCAAAGGUAGCGUAAUCACUUGUCUUCUAAAUAAAGACCAGUAUGAACGGCUAAAUGAGGACCAGCCUGUCUCCUAUGUCCAAUCAGUGAAACUGAUCUUCCAGUCAAAAAGCUGGAAUACUAAUACAAGACGAGAAGACCCUGUGGAGCUUAAAACCUACGACUAAAAGGCACAAAAUGCAACUAGUCCUAGUUUUAAGUUGGGGCGACUUCGGAACAAAAUAAAACUUCCGAGCACAGAACCACCACUUCUAACCAAGGCCAACAAGCCUAAACUAAUUGAUCCAGUAAAACUGACCAACGAACCAAGUUACCCCAGGGAUAACAGCGCCAUCUUCUUCAAGAGUCCCUAUCGACAAGAAGGUUUACGACCUCGAUGUUGGAUCAGGACACCCAAAUGGUGAAGCCGCUAUUAAAGGUUCGUUUGUUCAACGAUUAACAGUCCU
rnacentral:rRNA from 1 species